ACGAACGCUGGCGGCGUGCCUAAUACAUGCAAGUCGAACGAGCUCUCCCAAAUUGAUUUUAUGCUUGCAUAAAUGAUUUUUGGAUUCGGAGCGAGUGGCGAACUGGUGAGUAACACGUGGGUAACCUGCCCCGAAGCGGGGGAUAACAUUUGGAAACAAGUGCUAAUACCGCAUAAUUAGUUGGAACCGCAUGGUUCCAACUUGAAAGAUGGCUCUGCUAUCACUUUGGGAUGGACCCGCGCCGUAUUAGUUAGUUGGUGAGAUAAAAGCCCACCAAGACGAUGAUACGUAGCCGACCUGAGAGGGUAAUCGGCCACAUUGGGACUGAGACACGGCCCAGACUCCUACGGGAGGCAGCAGUAGGGAAUCUUCCACAAUGGACGAAAGUCUGAUGGAGCAACGCCGCGUGAGUGAUGAAGGUUUUCGGAUCGUAAAACUCUGUUGUUAAAGAAGAACAAGUGUUAGAGUAACUGUUAACACUUUGACGGUAUUUAACCAGAAAGCCACGGCUAAC
rnacentral:rRNA from 2 species